AAGAUGUAUGCUCAUGCUCGCUGUCGCCGCAGGGGAAUCCGGUGCGAAUCCGGAACUGUCCCGCAACGGUGUACCCAUGCCUUUUUAUGCGUGCAUGGGAGUCAGUCCGAGGACCUGCCGACAGCGCGCCCGGCCG
rfam:Streptomyces swartbergensis strain HMC13 scaffold31.1, whole genome shotgun sequence.